GACGAACGCUGCCGGCGUGCUUAACACAUGCAAGUCGAAGGGGGUGGCGAACGGGUGAGUAACACGUGAGUAACCUGCCCUUUUCUUUGGAAUAAGCCUGGGAAACUGGGUCAAAUACUGGGUGGAUUGGGGUGGGCUCGCGGCUUUUCAGCUGGUUGGUGGGGUUAUGGCUUACCAAGGCUGUGACGGGUAGCGGGCCUGAGGGGGUGGUCGGGCACAUGGGGACUGAGAUACGGCCCAGGCUACUACGGGGGGCAGCAGUGGGGGAUAUUGCACAAUGGACGAAAGUCUGAUGCAGCGACGUCGUGUGGGGGAUGAAGGGCGUCGGGUUGUAAACUCCGUUCGCCAGCGGAAUGGUAGUGGGUAAAGAAGCGCCGGCUAACUACGUGCCAGCAGCCGCGGUAAUUC
rnacentral:rRNA from 1 species